GGACUACUAGGGUUUCUAAUCCUGUUCGCUCCCCACGCUUUCGCGCCUCAGCGUCAGUAUUAUGCCAGGUGGCUGCCUUCGCCAUCGACGUUCCUUCCGAUCUCUACGCAUUUCACCGCUACACCGGAAAUUCCGCCACCCUCUCAUAUACUCCAGCAAGACAGUUUGCGAUGCACUUCCUAGGUUAAGCCCAGGGCUUUCACAUCACACAUAUCUCACCGCCUACGCGCCCUUUACGCCCAGUAAUUCCGAUUAACGCUCGCACCCUCUGUAUUACCGCGGCUGCUGGCAC
rnacentral:rRNA from 1 species